AAGCCGUAAGGCGAAGUAUAGGGGCUGACGCCUGCCCGGUGCUGGAAGGUUAAGAGGAGCGCUUAGCGUAAGCGAAGGUGCGAAUUGAAGCCCCAGUAAACGGCGGCCGUAACUAUAACGGUCCUAAGGUAGCGAAAUUCCUUGUCGGGUAAGUUCCGACCCGCACGAAAGGCGCAACGAUCUGGGCACUGUCUCAACGAGAGACUCGGUGAAAUUAUAGUACCUGUGAAGAUGCAGGUUACCCGCGACAGGACGGAAAGACCCCGUGGAGCUUUACUGCAGCCUGAUAUUGAAUGUUGGUACAGCUUGUACAGGAUAGGUAGGAGCCUUGGAAACCGGAGCGCUAGCUUCGGUGGAGGCAUCGGUGGGAUACUACCCUGGCUGUAUUGACCUUCUAACCCGCUGCCCUUAUCGGGCAGGGAGACAGUGUCAGGUGGGCAGUUUGACUGGGGCGGUCGCCUCCUAAAAUGUAACGGAGGCGCCC
rnacentral:rRNA from 1 species